rnacentral:misc_RNA from 1 species
AAAGGCCUGCAACGUCAAUGUGGUCCCCUCAACAGAUUUGCAUGCUGGUAGGGGUAUGAACUCUGUGAAAGAAAAGGGUCAGGGUCUGGCCAUCUUUCCUGGUCACACUGGGAAGGAGAAAAGCUCUCAAACUUCGAACAUUGUAGACAAUGCACAGAGAAAGCAGAUUUUGCUUCAGCAACCUCUGCCACCAGGAGCACCUAGUAAUAUCUUGGUAAGCUUCUUUUCUCGAAUUGGCGUAUUU